GCAAGCGUUGUUCGGAAUUACUGGGCGUAAAGGGCGCGUAGGCGGUGCUCUAAGUUAGAUGUGAAAACUCUGGGCUCAACCCAGAGCCUGCAUCUAAAACUGGAGUGCUAGAGUUCUGGAGGGGGUAGCGGAAUUCCUGGUGUAGCGGUGAAAUGCGUAGAUAUCAGGAGGAACACCGGUGGCGAAGGCGGCUACCUGGACAGAAACUGACGCUGAGGCGCGAAAGCUAGGGGAGCAAACAGG
rnacentral:rRNA from 1 species